CAAAAAAAAAAAAAAAAAAAAAGCAGCCCAACACCGGUGUCUUGCAUUCAUUACAAAUCGUGUCCACAGCCCACUUCCCAACUUACAACUUCCACCUCCAGGAGAGGACUGGGGGCUGGAGAUUGCAUUAAUUUUCAAUGGCCAGUGGUUUAAUCAAUCAUGACUAAGUAAUGAGCCUGCGUAAAAACCAGAGCUUCCGGUCUGGUGAACACACGGAGGUCCUGGAAAUGGUGGCGCGCCCAGAGGGCAUGGAAGCUCCGCGCCCCUUCCCACAGACCUUGUCCCGUGCAUCGCUUCCAUCCGGCUCUUCUUGAGUUCUGGCCCUUGUAGUAAACCUGCAGUUUCGAUCAAUUUUCUCUCAGGAGGCUCCUCAUUGACUCAUGCAAACAGAUUUCUGGCCAGAACUGCUCCAAGGCCUUCCAGAUGUGCACAGGCAUGGAUGAAUCAGAGCAGAAAUGGACAGAUGCAGCUCAAAUGGAGGGUUCUGCUAUAAUCUCAAUCCAUACCCAGGCUGGAGUGCAGUGGCGCGAUCUCGGCUCACUGCAACCUCUGCCUCCCAGGUUCAAGCGUCUCCUGCCUCAGCCUCUCGAAUAGCUGGGAUUAUAGACAACUACCAUUUUUCCCCCUCUGUCUUGAUGUUCACCUGACAAGCUCCUGGUGGUAGCCGGUAGCUCUGACAGAGAGCAAAAGAAAUAAGGGGCGGUUUUAGCUGAUAACCUCACCAGUCUUCACUUUGGCUCUUCCUUCACUGCCCCUUCAGCUGCAGGGAACUUGCUCUAGGGCAUCUUGGCAGGAGGGAGGGCGUCUGAGGGUACCGAUGCCUGCAGACUUCAAGCAUGGAGAGCAUUCUUGAAGCGGGGCUGUCUGGCCACUUGGAAAAAGGUGGAUUAAUUUGGGGAUAUCCGAGGAGCCCCAGAGGGCCAUUGUAAUUCAAGAUCUUCAGUAAACUUUUGCCACAGAGAAAGAACCCGGCCAGUAUUGGGACCAUCAUGGUGAUGCAGGAUUGAAGGAACAGGAGUUUCGGUUGACUGACAAGUUCCUGGGAGAGAAACAGGCUCAAAUACAGAGAACAGAAAGAUGUCGUGAGGAGCCAGGAAAGAAAAUUUUCCAGGAGUCAGGGAAUUAAUUUCAAUCAGAACAAGGAGCCAGCAAGAACUUCCAGCCUAGGAGGUACUUUUCCAAAGAAGCCUGGGACUCUAACCCAGCUUCUGAGAGUAUACUCAGAAUUGUAAGAAUCAGGUGGGGCGCGGUGGCUCAUGCCUGUAAUCCCAGCACUUUGGGAGGCUGAGGCGGGUGGAUCACUUAAGGUCUGGAGUGUGAGAUCAGCCUGACUAACAAGUUGAAACCCCAUCUCUACUAAAAAAAUACAAAAUUAGCCGGGCGUCAUAGCGCAUGCCUGUAAUCCCAGCUACUUGGGAGGCUGAGGCAGGAGAAUUGCUUGAACCCAGGAGGUGGAGGUUGCAGUGAGCCAAGAUCGCGCCAUUGCACUCCAGCCUGGGCAACAAGAGUGAAACUCUGCCUUGGGGGGACAAAAAGAAUUGUAAGAAUGAAAACCUGUCCUCAAUGUGCCUGAAUAAAUGCUUGUUCAGACACUGGACGUGGAAUCCGAUUCCCCACUGGAUACCCAAACUACAGGAGGUAGGUGGUUCCCAUCCGGACCCGAGUUGCUGUACCAGACAGACCCUUGUCAGAGACACAGCUGGACGUGAGUUAAAGUGGUGAAAAAACAGAUUUUAUUCAGUAACUACUGAAAGUAGGGAAGGAGCUGAGCUCUAUUCCGAUUUCGGCAGAGGUGAUUUGGGUGUUUUAAAGAAAGAAUGAGGGAGACGGGAAUAAAGGAGCUCCGAAGUGUCGGGGAAGCGAAAAAGUGCAAAGGGGAGCUUCCGGAUAGCAAAGCACGUGGAGGUUCCUGGAGGAUGUCCUCCCAGAGAGGACGUGGAACCUUCCUGCUCCCACCAUGCACUUGCCCUGUGUAUCUCUUCCCUUUGGCUGUUCAUCUGCAUACGUGGUAAUUUCCUUUAUAGUAAACCAAUAAACGGAAAUUUGCAGCAGCUGUGAAAAACUUCAAUUUUCUGAAUCCACUAUUGAUUUUUAGUGGCGAUUGCUUAAAUGCCUCAGUUUUAAGUACCAUAACGAAAGGAAAGCAUACGAUUCCUAUAUUAACAAAUCGGAAGUACAUUUUGCAGUUUUUGUUUUGCUUUUUCAGACAGGGUCUUAUUCUGUCAUCCAGGCUGGAGUGCAUUGGUGGGAACACAGCUCACUACCGACUCAGCCUCCUGAGCUCAAGCGAUCCUCCCACCUCAGCCUCUCGAGUGGCUAGGACCACAGACACCCGCGCACUACACCGCCUAACUAAUGUUUCGUUUUAUAUUAUAUUAUGUUAUAUUAUAUUAUUUUAUUUUAUAGAGACAGAGGUCUCACCAUGUCGACCAGGCUAGUUUUGAACUCCUGGCCUCAAGCAAUCCUCCUCCCGCCUCAGCCUCCCAAAGUGCUAAAAUGAUAGGUGUGAGCCACUGCACCCGGUGAUUUUGCAGUUUUUGGAAACCACGAGUUUGAUUUUGGUGUGAAUAUUUUGGAAGAAUCUAUGAAACAAAUGUACUUCAUCUGAUUUCUCAGUAAUGUUGAUGAUAGAUUUACUUCUGAACCUCUUGGACGUGUAUGUUAGAAGUUCUCCACCCAAUUGAUACGGAAUUAAAUAGCUGUGAAAUUACUCUAAGAAGAACCGAAGCAACGUUGGAAAUUUGGUAACUAAUGCCACGUUGGAAGCUAUUCAUGCCAAUGUAGCAUUGCUUCAUACAGGUACUUCCAGAUCUAAUUGAAUACAUCCAGUGGGAAAUUUCACUUUGCAUGAUUUUUUGGCUAUCCUUCUCAUAGUGGACCCCAGUUUUAGUUGUCAGAGUAACACAGACACAGCUGCUUGAAGGUCUUGAAAAUGAGGUUAACAAAUAUUCAGCUUUUGGUGGGAGUUUUUCUCAAGUUGUUGGAAUAGAAUUUGGACUCAGUUCAGAUGCAGAACUGGGACACUGAAUGAUAAGAGAUACUGUGAAAGUUCAAGGACCAUACGAAAAAAAUUUACCUUCUUGCUGCUAUAAACAAUAUAUUGCACAUGGGAAAGAUAGUUACGUUAUGCCUGAUAGUUGUUCUUGAAUGUUUGACACAGAAACUGUACAAGUACCUUCCACAGUCAUCAUGAAUCACUUUUAAUCGAUAAAAAUUUUGUAGGGAAGGAAGCAGUGUCUUUCAGGCCAUUGAAUGAAUUUGAUUACUACUACGAACAAAUCAUCAUUAUUAACAGCCUUCGAGGAAGAAUCAGAUAAGCCAUCAGCAGUAAUUGCAGUACCUGGCAUAGAAGGGCGAAUUUGCCAUAUUUCUCAGCACAUGAAAGAACAUUUGUACCAACUUAGAGCUGGAGGGGAACAAGGUUUAAGAACUUUUCCCAUUAUUAGUGGUAAUGCAUCUGAAAAUUUUGAUUCUGAUUGAAAUACUAUAUGGGUAAUAUAUAAUCAAUGCCCAACUGAAUGGAGAAAACGUACACUUUUUGCAUUGUUAAGCACAGUAAUAUAAUUUUGGCUCUUUGGUAUUGUUCUAGAAUUAAUUUUAAUUCUAGGGAUAUUGCUCUAAAUGUGCUUCUUAUCACUUUUGACUCUUCAGUGUGUUAUCCAGGAAACAAUAUAUAUAUACUUGUGAACUGUUGUUUGUGAUUUAAGCAUAUAUAUUGAAUAAUGUUUCCAGAUUAAAUGACUUCCAAGCUCC